UUUUUUUUUUUUUUUUUUUUUUUCUCUCUCUCUUCGUUUCUUUUUCUUUUUAUAAGCCAUUUCUAUUUCCAGAAACAGAAAAUUCCCCGUCUGAUGGAAGACGAAAAGCAAAACGGAAAAAGAAGAAACCUGAAGAUACAAUUAAAGUAACUCGAAAAAGUCAAACUGAAGAUAGACCAAAUUUUUCUGGUAUUGAAGCAACGACAAACCAGAAAUCUUUGAAUUUUUCCUUUUUAUUUCUCUUGUGAAUUGAUAUACUAUUUUAGAUUUCUUGACCACUCAACUAGAAAUGAUGGGAAAUAUUGAAGCACUAUU
rnacentral:ribozyme from 13 species